rnacentral:lncRNA from 1 species
CCCAGCACAGGGGCUUAUCAGUGCCACCCAAUCAGCUGCUUGAAAAAGUCACAAAACCUCAAUUAAAACAAAGAAAAUGAUAUGUUUUGUUUGUUUCUUGAUUUUUUUGGGUUUUUUUUUCCCUGUGAGCAAUAAAAACCAGGUACUUCAGCAAAGCAAGAUAACUCAAGAGCUGAUGAAUAAAUAAUACCUGUGGAUGAAUAAUUUAAAUGUAGUGUCAGAUGCCUUGAACAAUCUUUAUCCUUGAAACAAUAAGAUGUGACCACGUGCAGUUUGUGUGCCAGACAGAGAGGGUGGAGGAUUAAAACCCUGACCUGGGCUCGAGCAACAUCCCACACAGCACUUUCCAGGAAACAAGAGCCCUAAAUUCCUGCCCUGAAGUUUAGGUAGGACAAGUGUCUUUUCCCAGGUUGUUUUGCUUUCCCUCAGCUGCUGAGGAUGGAGGAAAUUGGUCAGGUGAGGCUGAUCAAGGUGUUUCAGCCACACAGGGAACUUAAAUAGCAGCUGAUAUACAGGUGGGGGGAAAAAAAGUUUUCCCAGGAUUUUCUCCUUAAAAGAGAGAUUGAGAAGUUUCACAAGGAAAAGGAGCCUUUAACUCCUCCUUGCUUUAUUUAAGAUAACUCAUUAAUGUUUUGCCUUCAGGUGGUUUUGGUAAUUGAAAAUCCAGGCUCAGGAAUCCUUAAAUUCUCCUGGCUGGGGCUGUGGUGGCCUUGCUGCUCUCCAGAUGUGUCCCCACGCCAGGCUCCUCUGCAGGGACAUGUCCUGAUGUCCUUGGUAUGUGUACUCUUCUCCCUUGGUUUUGCACGCUGCUCUUCACCUCAUCUUCAUACAAAAGGGUUUUCAAGGUUAUCUGAGUAAUUCCAGACUGAAGUGUUUCUCUCUUGGAAGGUGUCUGUUGAGAAGGAAUUCAGGGUGGAUUGGCCUGCGAAGAAUUUAUUUCUGGAAUUGGUAUGAGAAAAUGGGAACAUGAGAUCUCCUUUAACCUGGUGUUUGGAGUGAAAACACAGCUCUGCUUUUAUGAAAUUAAAGAUUUUGGCAAAUGUUAUCUUUGAGCUUUGAUUUGAGGUGUUAAUAAAUAGAAUGAAAGAGUUGGGAAGGGGAAAUGU